GGGCCGGUAGAUCAGCGGAAGAUCGCUACCUUGGCAAGGUAGAGGCCGCGAGUUCAAAUCUCGCCCGGUCCA
rnacentral:tRNA from 1 species